AUUGAACGCUGGCGGCAGGCCUAACACAUGCAAGUCGAACGAGUGGCGGACGGGUGAGUAAUGUCUGGGAAUCUGCCUGAUGGAGGGGGAUAACUACUGGAAACGGUAGCUAAUACCGCAUACCAUCCGAUGUACCCAGAUGGGAUUAGCUUGUUGGUGGGGUAAAGGCUCACCUAGGCGACGAUCCCUAGCUGGUCUGAGAGGAUGACCAGCCACACGGGGACUGAGAAACGGUCCAGACUCCUACGGGAGGCAGCAGUGGGGAAUAUUGCACAAGGGGCGCAAGCCUGAUGCAGCCAGGCCGCGUGUAUGAAGAAGGCCUUAGGGUUGUAAAGUACUUUCAGCGGGGAGGCGUUAACCGAAGAAGAAGCACCGGCUAACUCCGUGCCAGCAGCCGCGGUAAUAA
rnacentral:rRNA from 1 species